AGUGAGGAAUAUUGGACAAUGGGCGCAAGCCUGAUCCAGCCAUGCCGCGUGCAGGAAGAAGCAUCUAUGGUGUGUAAACUGCUUUUGUACGGGAAGAAACACUCCUUCGUGAAGGAGCUUGACGGUACCGUAAGAAUAAGGAUCGGCUAACUCCGUGCCAGCAGCCGCGGUAAUACGGAGGAUCCAAGCGUUAUCCGGAAUCAUUGGGUUUAAAGGGUCCGUAGGCGGUUUUGUAAGUCAGUGGUGAAAUCUGGUCGCUCAACGAUCAAACGGCCAUUGAUACUGCAGAACUUGAAUUAUUGGGAAGUAACUAGAAUAUGUAGUGUAGCGGUGAAAUGCUUAGAUAUUACAUGGAAUACCAAUUGCGAAGGCAGGUUACUACCAGUGGAUUGACGCUGAUGGACGAAAGCGUGGGGAGCGAA
rnacentral:rRNA from 1 species